rnacentral:rRNA from 1 species
CAUUAAAAGUUGCUCGAGGCGGCCCCAGGCAUCGCCAGGUGGCCGCUUAGACAUCAACACCCUCUGUAUAUCUACCGCGUUGCUUUGGCGGGACGGCAGCCAGCAGCCCUGCUGGGAAGCUGUCCGUAGGGCCUCUCCAAGGCCCCGCGAGCGCCCGCCAGAGAACCGUCAAACUCAUGUUAAACCGUGGUGUCUGAGCUUUACAAGCAAUAAGUUAAAACUUUCAACAACGGAUCUCUUGGUUCUCGCAUCGAUGAAGAACGCAGCGAAAUGCGAUAAGUAAUGUGAAUUGCAGAAUUCAGUGAAUCAUCGAAUCUUUGAACGCAUAUUGCGCCCCUUGGUAUUCCGAGGGGCAUGCCUUUUCGAGCGUCAUUACAACCGUCAAGCUCUGCUUGGUAUUGGGCUUCCGUCCCCACGCGGGCGGGCCUCAAAGUCAUCAGCGGCUGAGAGAACGGCGUUCUAGCGUAGUAGAAAUUAACUCGCCAGGGACCGGCCUCAGGCAGCUGUCAAACCCGCGCCUUUGCGCACAUCUUAGGUUGACCUCGGAUAAGGUAGGGAUACCCGCUGAACUUAAGCAUAUCAAUAAGCGGAGGA